UUAGAUUAAAAAGGAAAUCGUGCUUACAUUUUCAGAAGUAUUUGAUAACGAUAUAUGAAAAAUUGGGUCUCGAUGUUAUCUUGUCGAGCCAUCUCGCAAAAGUGAAAUAUGAAGGAGUUACUAUCUCAACUCAGUCCAUUUUGAAGAUUUGUCUUAACUUCAUUCUUUUUUCGAUUGACACACUAAUAUUUGCUUAUCUUAUUUCACAUUAUUAUACUUUGUUUAUUUAAAAAUUUUAGCAGAAAAUUUUCUAGAUAAUAACAUACACUAAAUGAUCUGUGCUCGGUCUUACUUUUCUGUUUUAUACUUGAUUAGUUAUCUUCAGUAUUAGUUAAAAUCUUGAACUCUAACAAAUAUCUUAUUUUGUGGUGGGAGAUAAUCCUAUCUUAGAAAUUUAUAUUAUUAUUACCACUGUAUUGUCACUGUAGUGAAUCUUUUUUACAUCAUGUAGUGUAAUUUGAUUUUUCCUAAAGAAAAACAUAUCAAUUAUUUUUUUAUUUAUUUUUUAAAAUACAAAUUGAGUCAAAAAUAUAAA
rnacentral:lncRNA from 1 species